AUAUUUUCAUCACUUUUAAUACAUUCAUUAACUUUGUUUUAAAACUCGUGUCUUUUCCUUCUAGGAAUUUAUUUAAGGAAAUGAAGUAUAAAUAAAUGAAAAGGAACUACAAUUGUUGAAAUAAAAAAUGGAAAUUAACUUGGCAAAAGAAAAGGAAUUAGACAAAAAUAAAAAUAAGAAAAAAAGUAGUAACAAAUAGAAACAGUAAAAAUUUCAAAUGGGCCCCAAUUUCUACAAAUUUUAUGGAAUAGGAUGCAAUAAUAGUGCAUCCGCUCUCUCCUAAUUCCACAUACUCAACAUAUCUCACCUCCCAAGGUACUUCAUCUCCUCUAAAACCUUCAUUCAAAAUGCGACCAAAAAUGAAUAGGGAAGAGGUGAUUUAAAAGUGCGAACUCCGAUCUUCAAACAGUGAAGUCUAGGGAUCAAACCCCACUGCUCUCCCUC
rnacentral:lncRNA from 1 species